UUAUCCCACAUCUUGAGUUCAUCCGAGUGAGAAUUAGUCUUCAUGAACCCAUGCCUGUCGUAAGAGGUGACUAACGGGAUCGGGUGGUCAGGCUCG